rnacentral:rRNA from 1 species
CCUACGGGAGGCAGCAGUGGGGAAUUUUGGACAAUGGGCGCAAGCCUGAUCCAGCCAUUCCGCGUGAGUGAAGAAGGCCUUCGGGUUGUAAAGCUCUUUCGCAAGAGAAGAAAACUUACUUUCUAAUAAAGAGUGAGGUUGACGGUAUCUUGAUAAGAAGCACCGGCUAACUACGUGCCAGCAGCCGCGGUAAUACGUAGGGUGCGAGCGUUAAUCGGAAUUACUGGGCGUAAAGCGUGCGCAGGCUGUUUUGUAAGUCAGAUGUGAAAUCCCCGAGCUCAACUUGGGAACUGCGUUUGAAACUACAAGACUAGAAUAUGUCAGAGGGGGGUAGAAUUCCACGUGUAGCAGUGAAAUGCGUAGAGAUGUGGAGGAAUACCAAUGGCGAAGGCAGCCCCCUGGGAUAAUAUUGACGCUCAUGCACGAAAGCGUGGGGAGCAAACAGGAUUAGAUACCCUGGUAGUCCACGCCCUAAACGAUGUCUACUAGUUGUGGUGGAGUAAAAUCCAUGAGUAACGCAGCUAACGCGUGAAGUAGACCGCCUGGGGAGUACGGUCGCAAGNUUAAAACNCAAAGGAUUGACCGGNNGAGAGAGCGAGACGACGACGAGGGAGGAGG